rnacentral:lncRNA from 1 species
GUUGACACCUCGGGAUGGAUCGUAACCGGGUCCUCUUUGCACUUCAUAAUUUGGUCUUUGUACAUCAUAUCCAGGUCUCUGUGCAUCAUAGGGAGCUCCUCUUUGUGCAUCAUAACCAGGUCCUCUCUGUGCAUCAUAACCAGAUCCUCCAGAGGCAUCAUAACCAGGCCCUCUUGGUGCAUCAUAAACAGUCCUUCCAGGUGGUCCAGGUUGAGCUCCCACUAAUGGAGGAGUUCCAGCAGCUGUAGCACCACCACCUGCAGCAGCAGCAGGAGGAGGGAAGGGGGCACGUC